AUUGAACGCUGGCGGCAGCCUAACACAUGCAAGUCGAGCGGGGUUUUCGGACCUAGCGGCGGACGGGUGAGUAAUGCGUAGGAAGCUGCCCGAUAGAGGGGGAUACCAGUUGGAAACGACUGUUAAUACCGCAUAAUGUCUACGGACCAAAGUGUGGGACCUUCGGGCCACAUGCUAUCGGAUGCGCCUACGUGGGAUUAGCUAGUUGGUGAGGUAAUGGCUCACCAAGGCGACGAUCUUUAGCUGGUUUGAGAGGAUGAUCAGCCACACUGGAACUGAGACACGGUCCAGACUCCUACGGGAGGCAGCAGUGGGGAAUAUUGGACAAUGGGCGCAAGCCUGAUCCAGCCAUGCCGCGUGUGUGAAGAAGGCCUUCAGGUUGUAAAGCACUUUCAGCGAGGAGGAAGGGUGGUGUGUUAAUAGCACAUCAUUUUGACGUUACUCGCAGAAGAAGCACCGGCUAACUCUGUGCCAGCAGCCGCAGUAAGAC
rnacentral:rRNA from 1 species